rnacentral:lncRNA from 1 species
CCCGCACUUCCCAGCACUUGCUGCCCUUGAGCGGCACCCAGGGUGGGAGCCAGGCCACCCGGGCAGGCCCAGGAGGCCGGUAGAGCGGUGGCCUGGGGCCCGGCUCUGCAGCACUCUGAAGUCACCUGAGCAAGCAUCACUGGAGACCUGGCCCUGCCAGCAGGUGUCCUGGCUGCUCACCAGGGCCCUGUCUCCAUCCACAAACCCUGUGGUGCAGAGGGCGGUCUGUGGACUCAGUGGGGGCCGUCUGGGGGCCGAUGAGGACUGCGCCUCGGUGGGAUGGGCGCAGUGGGGGUGCAGCGGGAGGGGCUCCGGGAAGCGGGGGCCAGAGCCACGUCCUGGAGCCAGGCCGACCCAGGCCACUGCUCGCUGACAGAGGAACAGAUGCUUCUGGGGCCGUGGUUUGGGUUAAGUGUGGCGCUUUUCCUUUAACCUUAUUGCAAAAUAAUACGGGCUCCUCACAGGAACCGCCCCCCCCACCUGUUGCUCCAAAAUGGUCACGUGUUGUCCAUUUUCAUUAGGGACACGAUGCGGAGCGUUUCCGCCCUUGGCUUCGGCCCCCGAGGUGACCGCACCGUGGGUGUUGCAUGCACUUCAGAUUCUGUCAUCGUUUCCUCUGCUUGCACAUUCCUUUUGAACAAGGGAGGUUUAUCCCUGCGGCCGGGUGGGCGUAGCACCCUGUCCUUAGCGCCCGCCCCCUGCCCUGCCAGGCCCUGCCAGGCCCUGCCUCUAGGCGCCCUUCCUCUGCUCUUGGGCUUCUUCCUCCCAGGGUCUGGCCGGUAACUAUUUAGAAAGUGAAGAAAAACCCUUAACAGCUGACCUCCGCUUCCUCUUCGGGAAAGGAGCACACCUUGGUGGUGGCGGCUGCAGGUGGCUCGGCCUGGCCAGGGAGGCCUGGCGGGCGCGUGCAGAGGCUCAGAGUGGGAGGCCGGGUCGCAGCCGUGGGGGGCGAGGAUGCCUGGGCGGAUGGUGGAUUUGAGCUUCUUUGUGCAGCUCCACGGCCCCAGGUCUCGGGUGAACUCUGCCCCCUGCUCCCCUGCAUGCGCCCCAUCCCCUUCCCUUUGCUGACUGGGAGCAGGCUUUGUCGGUUUUCCAGCCCCUGAGUCUUGUCUUCACGGCGACUGUGCUGUUUCCUUAAUGAAAUCCAAAAUUUUAAAAGCGUCCCCUUAAAAAACCCAAGCUCUCUGGCCGCCAGUCAACUCCCAAGUGCCUGCGGCUGUCUCACGCUAUAUCUCAGCCCCGCUGGGCGGCCAGGCUGCCUGUGGCUGUGGUCCUCGGGGCCCUGGCCCCGCUCCCGGGCCUCGGCUUGGGCUGGCGUGCGUGCGGCCCUCCCGCCUGCUGGGCGCUGUCCCGGGCUUGGUCUUUAGAUCUGAAGUUCCACCCGCGGCAUGUGGCCCAGUAAGUCCCAGCAAGAGUGGGGGACGGGAGAGUCUGGACCACAUAGGACCCGGCCCGAGGGACUCAGACGCCUGGACUCCAGAGAGGCUCCCCCAGGGCCCCGCCUCACGGGCCCGCCUUCCG